GCCGUGCCGAGCCGAGGAUGCUCCGCGCCCGGCUCCCCCGCUAACAGGCACCUCGCGAGGCAGGCAGCAUACUGCCGGCAGCCGGCCCGGCCCCGCUACCCAGGUUGCACGCUCCAGAGGGCUGCAGUGGGAAGGAGGCAGCUGCACAAUGAGCAUCAAUGUUAAUGGAUACUUUCUUUGGAAAAUCCUUCAUGGUUUGGCCAGGGUACAGGCUAAAUCCUGCCUUUACCCUGUGCAUCAGGACAAGCGUUUGAUAAGAGGAACAGAAAACGUGCAGCAGCAGGAUAGAUCCACCCUUUAGUAUGCAAAGCAUGUCCACUAGGUGAUGUACAUGCUGCAAGAGCUGCCAUAUCACCUGCUUGUCUCCCUUCAUGCUAUUGUUUGCCCUCUGCUUUUGGUCGUGAUGAAAAUGUAUUAAGUUCCUUCCAAAUCAAAAGAAAGAGGCUAUCUACUUUCAGGAGUUUGCAAGCUCCGCGCUGAUGUAUAUUUUGAUGUCUUCUCCUUGUCUAAUGUGAUAGAUUUUAGCCUUGUUUCAUGUAUAUUUAUUUGGGGAAUUCCUUAAUUAAAUUAUAUGCUAAGGACA